rnacentral:misc_RNA from 1 species
AACCAUAGAAACCUGCGGAGUACCUGCGGAAGGAUCAUUAAAAAUACUUUGCCCGCGGACCUUGGGUCCAAGGCGCAAAACCCACACUGUGUGCACUGUUAUCGUUCUUUUGGCAGGGGCUUGGGGUAUCUUCCAACUUGGGGAACCUCAACUUCUCGUCUAGCUCUAUCCACCUCGGACAGCUGGACAUGAGAAGCAGUUACUCUGCCAAGUGACCCUUAAAAACACGCUAUUUUGUCU